AGCUUGAUAGCUCAGUUGGUAAGAACAUUGCACCAGCAUCGCGAGGUCAUGGGUUCGAAUCCCGUUCAAGCCU